rnacentral:ribozyme from 1 species
UAAAAAAAAAAGGGAGAAGAGUACAAAGAAGAAGGUGAUACAAUCCCGAAAUUCGUGUACUCUAUCCUUCCUUUUUUACCUUCCUUCUACACACUUUAUGUGCAUCGGACUGUCUUUGGCGAUAUUGCUAAAAAUGGGAUCGCCUAUC